rnacentral:rRNA from 1 species
CGGGGGGUGCGAGCGUUGUUCGGAUUUAUUGGGCGUAAAGCGCGUGCAGGCGGUUUGUUAAGUCUGAUGUGAAAGCCCCGGGCCCAACCCGGGAAGUGCAUUGGAUACUGGCAGACUUGAAUACGGGAGAGGAGAGUGGAAUUCCUGGAGUAGGGGUGAAAUCCGUAGAUAUCAGGAAGAACACCGGUGGCGAAGGCGGCUCUCUGGAACGAUAUUGACGCUGAGACGCGAAAGCGUGGGUAGCAAACAGGAUUAGAUACCCUGGUAGUCCACGCCCUAAACGAUGAGUACUAGGUGUUGCGGGUAUUGACCCCUGCAGUGCCGCAGCUAACGCAUUAAGUACUCCGCCUGGGAAGUACGGUCGCAAGACUA